UAAGACAAUUUUGAAUUGGAGGAAAACGGUUUUCUUUCAUAUACCAUAUGGAGCAAAGGAUAAAAAUGAGUUCCAGCAGCCUAUCACGAGUGGUGAGAAUUACAGAACUCGUUGGCAGGUCUGGUUCGGAGCAAGUUGGCGGGGAUGGGGCUCCGGUUUGAAGCCCCCGAUGAUGGAGGGAAAAUUAAAAGGGGGGUAG